CCUUUGGGCUUUGGGGUUUUUCGUUCCCCAAAACUUCAGCUUUGCCCACGUGCAUGUUGCCGAACCAAAUCGUCUGCUCGCUCAUGCGCAGUAAAGCCCAUCUACUGCCACCAGGUGGUGGUGAAGGGAAGUGCAGCGUUUAUUGUAGGCGCCCAGCAAGGACUUCCAGGACAGCUGCUGCCCCCAAACCCCAAACUCUCUGAUAGGGUUCAAGACAGCAUUUUUGAAGGCCAGGUGACACAGGGGCAUCCCAGGGUCUGUGAUCAGCUAGUGCACAGUUCUCUGGGUGACGGUGAGGUAAUGAGGUGAUGUCACAGGUGUUAACUGUCCAUUCCUAGACACCUGUAGGUCUGGGGGACUCCUUGUUUGUGGUCAUGAUGUAGUUAACAUCUUCCAUUUGGUGGGAAUUUUAGGAGGUGGGGCCUCUGGGAGGUGAUUAGGUCACGAGGGUGGAGCCCUCGUGGUAGAAUUAGUGCCCUUAUAAAAAGGGGCCUCAGGCUGUUCCCUCACCCCCGCCAUCAUAUGAGGACACAGCAAGAAGCUGGCCACCUCCAAACCAGGACACGUGCUCUUCACCAGACACCAAAUCUGCCAGCACCUUGGCCUUCCUCGUCUCCAGAACAGUAAGUGUUUGUUGUUGAAGCCACCCAGUCUGUUGGUGUUUUUGCUAAAGCAGCCCAAACUAGAAUAACAGCUCUCCCGGAAACAGAAAAAAGGCAGCCCUCCCAUUAAAGAUGUCGAUGGCUUUUGGUGACGCUCACUGUGAGAAAGCUUCAGCGAGAACAGGCGGGGGAGUUGGUGAAGGUCAGAAGGGUGGUCUCAGGGCACUCACUGUGUGACCUCCUGGCAAAGUGUGAUUUCCUUGUGCAUUCAACAUCCUUUGUCUUUUGAGGGACUAGAGCUGCCAGCCAAAGAUGUUCGGAGGACUGCCUGUUGAGUCCUUGGUUUCUCAAGAUGGUGACUCGGUCACACGUUUAUAUGGGUGUGUUAGGUAUCAACAGCUAAAUUUCCUCCUUGCGUAUUAAGUCUUCCGUGUAACUUUUCUCGCAAUUAGAAAUCAUCCAAGCACCAUUUAUCAUGGGUGCUGAUUCCGGUUUGCUUUGCCUUCUGCUUGGAGCUUGAGGGUCGGGGUGAGGGGGGGACAGAGGGCUGCUUCUUGGGGCUGAGGUGCACACGUCUGAUGUCUGAAGCUGCGGUUCCCCACAGUGAGCCCCGCUGGAGGGAGGGGAGGCGGAAGUCUCCCUCCCAGCAGCAUCGUCCUGCGGUAAUAGAGACAAACAGAUGGUUCUGGGGUGAGGGGGGCUGGGGCAUAUGUUUUGUAGUUUGCUCUGAGAGUGACAGAUUCUGCUAAGUGUCACUGUCUGGGCGAGGUGCAUCCAGCAUGUCACCCCCAAUCAGGAGGCACAGCUCCCCAAGGCAACUGUACCCCUAGGGUUAAAAGCACAUUAAGCUCCAGCACUGUGUGACCCGCCAGGAGAAGACACAGAACAGGCGCACAGAGACAACCAGGAUGGAGCGGCCACCACGCAGGAUGGCCCAGGGAUCCUGCCAGCUGCUCACACACCCCAGGCCCCGCUGUCCUCUCCGAGUAACUCAUGUUCCCACAGAGAGAGAGAGUGGUAAUUUUCCAUUUUCCUUCCCUGGGUGACUCAGAAGAAAGCAAAAUCUGUUCCCAGCUUGUUUUACUACUUCUGUCAUUUCUCUUGCUGAGCAGCGCAGACUGAAGGCUGAGGGAGACUUCUCCACACCCACUCCACCUCCUGAUCCGUUCUUUCUGCGAUCUGCCCUCCUCUCCACCUCGCAUCUGCUGGGGGCCCUGCUUGUUCGCCUGGAGACGCUGUGUCUCUGUGGUCCUUUCAUUUUAAAUGGAAGUGCCCCUCCCUUAGUCUAGGGAUGGGCAGGUCUUGGGGGUGAGGUUUGAGCCACACAUCGCUGCCUUGUGGGACCUGCCACAAUUCCACGAGAACACAACGGGCUGGGAAAAGUCACAGGAGAGGGGCGGUAGCUUCCAAAACGCUCUCUUUGGGGUCAUGUUUGCUGAGCAAACCUGCCCUUUCUUGGCUCCAGUAAGUGACUCAGGGAACUGACACUCAGUACCUUGUCCCCACAGCCCCGAGGACCAGGGCCGGCUGUGUCUCCCUGGGCUUUGGGAGUGCCCUGCCAUCUCCCCAUCGGUGGCUAUGGGAGGCACGAGGAGGAGACAGUGGUCUCAUGGGAUGAAUCAGGGGGCGCUUAGGAAGGAAACCGGCUGUGUGGUCUCCCACCCUGUGUCAGGGAAGUGCAGGCAAGGAAAUGAGGACUGCCUCCCGUCUCGGGAGGGGUCUGCUGAGUCCUGAUUGUUGGAUGAAGGGCUCACCCCUUCUUUCACUCACUUUCAUCAGGUCAGAAAUGGAGUGAGGAGCCCCCUUGAUAAAUGGAACCUGCCAGGCUGGAGGGGCCUGGAAGAGACCCUGGGGCUCGUGUCUCUGUGCAUUCUUUGCUCCGCACUCCCUCCUGGAGCUGGCAGGAGGCGCUGGCCGUGCAGUGAGUUCAGCCAAGGCUGGUGUCCCUCGUAGAUGUGAAAAAAUGUGGGAAACACCUGGAUAAGUCCCCAGAUGGAGCCUCACCAAGCUGGGUGGAUUGCGCCGUAAUGCCUGUGGGGCUGGGGUGAGGGGAGCAGACAGAGACAGCAUCCUUCUGACUCCCCGGACACCUGCUCCUGCGAGGUCAUCACCAAGCCUCAGCGUCUAUCCAGGGAGACAGUCACACAACCUAACAGCAGAACAGUACGAGUCCCCAGAGGAUCUGUGCCAGAGAGGACACCCAGAGGUCUGUGAGGAGAUCCAGGAAAAGAAUGUUCCCAGCCUGAGCACAUCUCGCAGAUCAGUUGGUGUUGCGGGGUGAGGGCUGGGGGACUGCCCCAUCCAGGAGGCUGACGAUGCCCCCCCCACCUGAUGGGGCCAAGAGGAGAAGGCGGGGGACUGUGCCUUCAGAAAAGCCACAUCAUUUAGUCCUCGUGCCACUCUGCAGAGUGGACGCUGUUAUCAACCCGCUUUACAGAUGAAGAAACUGAGGCUCAGCGACAGGGUACUCCAGAUCUCAAAGGGGAAAGAACCACAUGGUGGAGGAGGAUGGCUCCCCCAGGGGACAGGGGACAGAGUGGCACUGAUUUUCCUUUGGUUACAGGUUCAGAGAGGCUGGGAACCCCGCAGUGGUGUCUGAUUCCCCCCAGGCCCUAGGGGGCAGCAGAGCCUCAUAACUGACCUUGCUUUGCAGUGGCCCAGACUCAAGUUCCAGAGAGGCUUCUGUUACUAACUAGCGUGGGCUGGUCAUAUAGCCUGCAGCAGGGUCUCUGUUUCCACUGGGCUGGCAGAGAGAUGAGGAUCUCCAUGGAGUGUGUUACUCAUCUUCCCGUCGGGAGCAGCAGAUCCCUGAGGGCUCACCUAGCUCCAAGACUUGGUGUUUAAGGUCUAGACAUCUUCACUUUGGUCUUCCCAGGUGGCACUAGUGAAAGAAUCCACCUGCCAAUGCAGGGAGAUGCAGAGACUCGGGUUCGAUCCCCUGGGGAGGGAAGAUUCCCCUGGUGUAGGACAUGGCUCCCCACUCCAGUAUUCUUGCCUGGAAAAUCCCACGGACAGAGAAGCCUGGCGGCCUACAGUCCAUGGGGCCGCAAUGAGUCAGACACGACUGAGCAGCACCAGCAGUAGGAGCACCUCACAGCAGCCCAGCGCCCCUGCGAUGGUGAGCAUCCUGGGUCCCCAGACGCAAAGACAGGCAAAGUGAACUCCUCUUGGUCACAUGACCAGCAGGCAGGAUUUGAACAAGGUCUUCCAGUGGCUCUGUACCCUGAAAUCACUCACAUGCUGCUCCACACACAGAACACACCCGCUGUUUGCUGCUAGUACCGAAGGGCUUCGUGCAAGUUCAGUUGCUAGAAGUGAUCACUGCUGAUGUAAUGACAUUGUCUGCAAGGUUCCCGGGGGAGGGAGGGGCGGGGUGCGCCCACCCCUGAGACAGUCGAACAUCCUGCGUACAAGAAAGAAGUACUUAACCAGCGCCUGGCAGGCUGCAAGUUUCUAAGUGAUUUAUAAAAAGCCUGCUCAAGUCUAGAGACUUCUAACAGGCAGAGGUGUGUUCUCCAGACUAAGAAUAGCUGCCUAGGCCUGACGGGAGAUGUUUUCUGGUGACGUCAGAGCAGAGCAGCAGCGUCUUGGGGGGUGGUGAGGGGAUAACAGCUGCCAGAACAGCCUCCCUGCCCACCCCCGCCACCUUCCAGAGGGAUGCGCUGAGCCUGGGGAAUUCAAUGAAGGUGUUGGAACGGUGCCAGGUGAUUACCAAGAUGGGAUUUGUUCUUGACUUUUGAAUGUCAAGAAGCUGAUCUAACCUGUCACUUUCCCACCUCACCACCCCACUGCUGGCUGCACGCUGGCCACCUGACCAGUAGACUGGGGACGGAGAGCAGAGGUCAGCAGGGGAGGCCGGUGGUCCCUGGCCGCUUUGUAUUUAGAUGUUUCCUGGGCAGCGAGAGAGCUCAGGUGCCUCCAUCCUGCCGGCACCCCCCACCCCCGGCCUCACUGGCACCUGAGGGGCCUCUAACACGUGCAGACUCCAGGCCCCCAGCCCAGCCCACCGCGGGGGGAUUCGCAUUUGCGCCCGAGUGUGGGAACUCCUGCUGUUUAAGGGAAGGAAGACUCCAGUCCAGAGCUUGCUCCAAGCCCCAGCAGCCCUCAAGGUUCUCGUCUCUGGAUGCAGAGUUAAUGAGCUGCGUCUUUCUGCACAGCUGCCAAGCGACGGGUCUCAGCCGAAGGUCAUGCUACCAGGACUCUCCAAGAAAACACUGUAACACAGGCGCACCUGUGCGCCCAGGUGGCCCAGGAGCCACAGCGCCCUGUCCAUGUGGUUCAUCAUACUCCACUCUUUAUAAAAACACCAACACCUGGGCACCGCCCCUCCCCGCCAGGGAUUCUGAUUGCAGGCUGUAACCUCCCCAGCUGUGUGUCACCACAGCUAGGGUGGAGACAGUACGCCUGCAACUUG
ensembl:lncRNA